GAAAGUUUAACUUCUGGUCAGUAUAUUGUAACUCUGAAAUACUGAUUGAAAAACAAACAGAAUUACAUUAUUCUUUAACUUAAGAAAAUAGGUUCUUUAAACAGUCCUAACAUUUUUUGCUUUAAUUGU